CCUUAAAGAACCUGCCUUUGUAGUGCUCACACAGAUUGUCUGAUGAACGUAAAGAAGCAAGGCGUCUUGCGAUUGAGACUUCAGUGUCCCCUUCGUCUAGAGGCCCAGGACACCGCCCUUUCACGGCGGUAACAGGGGUUCGAAUCCCCUAGGGGACGCCACUUGCUGGUUCGUGAGUGAAAGACGCGUGCCGAACUAUCUCAAAACUCAUCUUCGGGUGAUGUUUGAGAUAUUUGCUCUUUAAAAAUCUGGAUCAAGCUGAAAAUUGAAACGACACACUGUUUAAGUGUGUUCGAGUCUCUCAAAUUUUCGCAAUCAGAAGUGAAACAUCUUCGGGUUGUGA
rnacentral:misc_RNA from 1 species